CGCGGGGUAGAGCAGUUGGUAGCUCGUCGGGCUCAUAACCCGGAGGUCGGAGGUUCGAGUCCUCCUCCCGCUA
rnacentral:tRNA from 1 species